GAUGAACGCUAGCUACAGGCUUAACACAUGCAAGUCGCGGGGCAGCAUGGGGGUUGCUUGCAAUCCCCGAUGGCGACCGGCGCACGGGUGAGUAACGCGUAUCCAACCUGCCCUUCACCACGGGAUAACCCGGCGAAAGUCGGACUAAUACCGUAUGUUGUCCAUUGACGGCAUCCGAUUUGGACGAAAGGUUUGGCGGUGAAGGAUGGGGAUGCGUCCGAUUAGCUGGACGGCGGGGUGACGGCCCACCGUGGCGACGAUCGGUAGGGGUUCUGAGAGGAAGGGCCCCCAAACUGGAACUGGGACCACGUCCAGACGCCUACGGGAGGCAGCAGUGAGGAAUAAUGGGCCAUGGGCGUAAGCCUGAACCAGCCAAGUAGCGUGCAGGAUGACGGCCCUAUGGGUUGUAAACUGCUUUUAUGCGGGGAUAAAGUGGCCCACGUGUGGGUUUUUGCAGGUACCGCAUGAAUAAGGACCGGCUAAUUCCGUG
rnacentral:rRNA from 1 species